rnacentral:misc_RNA from 1 species
AACUAUCAGCAAUGGAUCACUUGGCUCUCGCAUCGAUGAAGAACGCAGCGAAAUGCGAUACGUAAUGUGAAUUGCAGAAUUCAGUGAAUCAUCGAAUCUUUGAACGCAUAUUGCGCUCUUUGGUAUUCCGAAGAGCAUGCUUGUUUGAGUGUCAGUAAACACCUCAAAGACUUUAAUUUGUUUUGAAUGGCUUUGGACUUGAUCAAUCCCAACACCAGUCUUUACGAUCGGUGGAGGGUUGCUUGAAAUGCAGGUGCAGCUGGACAUUCUCCUGAGCUAAAAGCAUAUUUAUUUAGUCCCGUCAAACGGAUUAUUACUUUUGCUGCAGCUAACAUAAAUGGAGUUUGACCGUAUUGGCUGACUGAUGCAGGAUCUCACAAGGGUCGGCAACGAUUCUUGUAAAACUCGAUCUCAAAUCAAGUAAGACUACCCGCUGAACUUAAGCAUAUCAAUAAGCGGAGGCU